rnacentral:rRNA from 1 species
GACCUGGCUCAGGAUGAACGCUAGCUACAGGCUUAACACAUGCAAGUCGAGGGGCAGCAUGAACUUAGCUUGCUAAGUUUGAUGGCGACCGGCGCACGGGUGAGUAACACGUAUCCAACCUGCCGAUGACUCGGGGAUAGCCUUUCGAAAGAAAGAUUAAUACCCGAUGGCAUAGUUCUUCCGCAUGGUAGAACUAUUAAAGGAUUUCGGUCAUCGAUGGGGAUGCGUUCCAUUAGGUUGUUGGG